rnacentral:rRNA from 1 species
UUAUUAAUAAAAUUAUUUAUUUGUAGUUAUUUAUUGUUAUAUUAAAAUAAGAAUAUUUAUGUUUAAUUAUUAGUUAAGAAAUAAUUUUUUAUAAUUAUAGUUUAUUAUUAUUGUGAAAGAACUGAUUAAGAUUUUUGAAAUAAAAGUUUACUUUUUGUACCUUGUGUAUCAGGGUUUAUUAAAAAAAAUUAUAUAAAUAAUUUUCUCGAAUUUAAAAGAGCUAAUUUUUGAUUUAUUUUAUUGUUGAAUAAAUACUUAUAAUCAAGAAUUUGAAAUGAAACGUUAUGCGUUUUUAAAUAUAUCUAGUUUUUUAAGAAAUAAAUUUAAUUUAUUUAAUUUGUAUAAAUAUUUUUUAUUAUUAAAAUAUUUUUUAAAUUAAGAAAUGUGCAAUGGGAUGAGCUUUUGUAUAAAUUAUUAUAAAUUUAUAUUUAUUUAUUUAUAAAUAGGAUUGGAAGUUUUUAUUUUUAGAAGAGUUUUUUAACUAAUAUUGUUGUUUAUUAAUAUUUAUAUUUAUUUUAAUUUUUUUAUUAAAAUUUAUUUUUAAAUUUGUAAUGAUUAGAAAUAAUGAUAGAAUUAGUAUAUUUUUGUUAUUUAAUGGAGUUAUUUUGAGAAAGGUUAAUCAAAGGAAUUCGGCAAAAUAUUUUCCGCCUGUUUAUUAAAAACAUGUCCUUUUGUUUAAAAUUUAAGGUCUAGCCUGCCCGGUGAUUUUUUAACGGCUGCGGUAUUCUGACCGUGCGAAGGUAGCAUAAUAAUUAGUUUUUUAAUUGAAAGCUGGAAUGAAUGGUUGGAUGAGAAAAUAGCUGUCUCUGUUUAAUUUAAAUAAAAUUUUAUCUUUAAGUAAAAAAGCUUAAAUUUAAUUAAAAGACGAGAAGACCCUGUAGAGUUUUAUAAAUUUUGCUAUUUAUUUUCUUUAGUAUUAUGAUUAAUUUAAAUGGUAAAUUUUAUUUAGUUGGGGAGAUUGAAAAAUUAAUAAAACUUUUUCUUUAGUAUAACAUAUAUUUAUGAUUAUUUGAUCCACUUAUUGUGAUUAUAAGAUAAAAUUACCUUAGGGAUAACAGCGUAAUCUUUUCUGAGAGUCCUAAUCGAAGAAAGGGUUUGCGACCUCGAUGUUGGAUUAAAAUUUAUUUUUGGUGUAGAGGCUAAAGAUAUUAGGUCUGUUCGACCUUUAAAAUUUUACAUGAUCUGAGUUUAAACCGGUGUGAGCCAGGUUGGUUUCUAUCUUUAAUUUAAUGGAAUAAUUUAGUACGAAAGGACCAGUUAUUUAAUUUUAAAUUUAAAUUUUGAAUAUUAGU